rnacentral:lncRNA from 1 species
CCAUUUAGUUCAGCAUGUUAUAUAAUUAUUAUACAAACCGAUAUAGUUAUAUAAUAUUAUAAAGAGAUAAAAAAUUAUAAUGAAAAUAUUUGAUUCUAUUUUGUAAUUAAAAGCUUACAACUGAUUAGUUUCCUAACCAAAUAUUGCAAUAAGAACAUAAAUGUAAUAAAACGACCAUACUAAUUGAUUUUACAUUAAUACAUAUUCUUUCAUUUAAAAUAACAUCAUAUAUUUUUUUAUAAAAACUUAAAUUUAACCUAACACUAUUAACAAAAUUGAUCUUGCGCACCGUGCGAGUUAAACUUAGUUGAUAUUCAUUUAUUUAAAAUAAAAUAGUUUUAUUAAAAAAAAUAUUAAAAAAAAAAACUAAAAGUGAAAAAAAAAUAACAUACAAAAAAUAUAUAUAAGAUUUAAUUUAUUUUAAAAAUGAACAUGUUAGGUGGCGACUUCACAAUAGCUCCCACCGUAUUUUUACCGAUUUCGAACAAUAAUAGUAUAAUACCAAUAAAGAAAUAAUGAAAUCGAAUCAUUUCAUAUCGUUUUAAA